UACAGAGGUCUCAAGCGUUGUUCGGAUUCAUUGGGCGUAAAGGGUGCGUAGGCGGCGCGGUAAGUCGGGUGUGAAAUCUCGGAGCUUAACUCCGAAACUGCAUUCGAUACUGCCGUGCUUGAGGACUGGAGAGGAGACUGGAAUUUACGGUGUAGCGGUGAAAUGCGUAGAUAUCGUAAGGAAGACCAGUGGCGAAGGCGGGUCACUGGCCCGUAACUGACGCUGAGGCACGAAAGCGUGGGGAGCAAACAGG
rnacentral:rRNA from 1 species